AGGUAAGCUACUAAGAGCGAAUGGUGGAUGCCUUGACUGGUAAAGGCGAUGAAGGACGUACUAGACUGCGAUAAGCUACGGGGAGCUGUCAAGAAGCUUUGAUCCGUAGAUUUCCGAAUGGGGCAACCCAAUGUAUAGAGAUAUACAUUACCUAUAUAGGAGCGAACGAGGGGAAUUGAAACAUCUUAGUACCCUCAGGAAAAGAAAUCAAUAGAGAUUGCGUCAGUAGCGGCGAGCGAAAGCGCAAGAGGGCAAACCCAGUGCUUGCACUGGGGGUUGUAGGACUGCAAUGUGCAAGAGCUGAGUUUAGCAGAACAUUCUGGAAAGUAUAGCCAUAGAGGGUGAUAGUCCCGUAUGCGAAAAACAAAGCUUAGCUAGCAGUAUCCUGAGUAGGGCGGGACACGAGGAAUCCUGUCUGAAUCCGGGUCGACCACGAUCCAACCCUAAAUACUAAUACCAGAUCGAUAGUGCACAAGUACCGUGAGGGAAAGGUGAAAAGAACUGAGGUGAUCAGAGUGAAAUAGAACCUGAAACCAUUUGCUUACAAUCAUUCAGAGCACUAUGUAGCAAUACAGUGUGAUGGACUGCCUUUUGCAUAAUGAGCCUGCGAGUUGUGGUGUCUGGCAAGGUUAAGCAAACGCGAAGCCGUAGCGAAAGCGAGUCUGAAUAGGGCGCUUAGUCAGAUGCUGCAGACCCGAAACGAAGUGAUCUAUCCAUGAGCAAGUUGAAGCUAGUGUAAGAACUAGUGGAGGACUGAACCCAUAGGCGUUGAAAAGCCCCGGGAUGACUUGUGGAUAGGGGUGAAAGGCCAAUCAAACUUCGUGAUAGCUGGUUCUCUCCGAAAUAUAUUUAGGUAUAGCGUUGUGUCGUAAUAUAAGGGGGUAGAGCACUGAAUGGGCUAGGGCAUACACCAAUGUACCAAACCCUAUCAAACUCCGAAUACCUUAUAUGUAAUCACAGCAGUCAGGCGGCGAGUGAUAAAAUCCGUCGUCAAGAGGGAAACAACCCAGACUACCAGCUAAGGUCCCUAAAUCUUACUUAAGUGGAAAACGAUGUGAAGUUACUUAAACAACCAGGAGGUUGGCUUAGAAGCAGCCAUCCUUUAAAGAAAGCGUAAUAGCUCACUGGUCUAGUGAUUUUGCGCGGAAAAUAUAACGGGGCUAAAGUAAGUACCGAAGCUGUAGACUUGCACACAACUUAGAUUAUUUAAGUUUAGAAUAUGAGAAACUAAGUUAUAUGUUUAGUUAUAUUUUUACUGAUUUUUAUAGAGUAAAGAUAGAAAUAAAACUUAGUGAAAUCAGUAAAAAUAUUCUUAGGCUAAAGUUAAGUAGUUUAAGUUGUGUGCAAGUGGUAGGAGAGCGUUCUAUUUGCGUCGAAGGUAUACCGGUAAGGAGUGCUGGAGCGAAUAGAAGUGAGCAUGCAGGCAUGAGUAGCGA
rnacentral:rRNA from 1 species